rnacentral:rRNA from 1 species
AACGGGUGAGUAACACGUGGGCAAUCUGCCCUGCACUCUGGGACAAGCCCUGGAAACGGGGUCUAAUACCGGAUAAUACUCUCGCAGGCAUCUGUGAGGGUUGAAAGCUCCGGCGGUGCAGGAUGAGCCCGCGGCCUAUCAGCUUGUUGGUGAGGUAGUGGCUCACCAAGGCGACGACGGGUAGCCGGCCUGAGAGGGCGACCGGCCACACUGGGACUGAGACACGGCCCAGACUCCUACGGGAGGCAGCAGUGGGGAAUAUUGCACAAUGGGCGAAAGCCUGAUGCAGCGACGCCGCGUGAGGGAUGACGGCCUUCGGGUUGUAAACCUCUUUCAGCAGGGAAGAAGCGAAAGUGACGGUACCUGCAGAAGAAGCGCCGGCUAACUACGUGCCAGCAGCCGCGGUAAUACGUAGGGCGCAAGCGUUGUCCGGAAUUAUUGGGCGUAAAGAGCUCGUAGGCGGCUUGUCACGUCGAUUGUGAAAGCCCGAGGCUUAACCUCGGGUCUGCAGUCGAUACGGGCUAGCUAGAGUGUGGUAGGGGAGAUCGGAAUUCCU